rnacentral:piRNA from 1 species
UCACACUCACUGCUCUGACUUCAUUGG